rnacentral:rRNA from 1 species
UACGUAGGGUGCAAGCGUUGUCCGGAAUUAUUGGGCGUAAAGAGCUCGUAGGCGGUUCGUCGCGUCGGCUGUGAAAACCCGGAGCUCAACUCCGGGCCUGCAGUCGAUACGGGCGGACUAGAGUUCGGCAGGGGGAGACUGGAAUUCCGUGGUGUAGCGGUGAAAUGCGCAGAUAUCAGGAGGAACACCGGUGGCGAAGGCGGGUCUCUGGGCCGAUACUGACGCUGAGGAGCGAAAGCGUGGGGAGCGAACAGG